AACGAACGCUGGCGGCAUGCCUAACACACGCAAGUCGAACGAGACCUUCGGGUCUGGUGGCGCACGGGUGCGUAACGCGUGGGAAUCUACCCUUGGGUUCGGAAUAACAGUUAGAAAUGACUGCUAAUACCGGAUGAUGACGUAAGUCCAAAGAUUUAUCGCCCAAGGAUGAGCCCGCGUAGGAUUAGCUUGUUGGUGGGGUAAUGGCCUACCAAGGCGACGAUCUUUAGCUGGUCUGAGAGGAUGAUCAGCCACACUGGGACUGAGACACGGCCCAGACUCCUACGGGAGGCAGCAGUGGGGAAUAUUGGACAAUGGGCGAAAGCCUGAUCCAGCAAUGCCGCGUGAGUGAUGAAGGCCUUAGGGUUGUAAAGCUCUUUUACCAGGGAUGAUAAUGACAGUACCUGGAGAAUAAGCUCCGGCUAACUCCGUGCCAGCCGCCGCAGUAA
rnacentral:rRNA from 1 species